GAAACGGUGGCUAAUACCGCAUAAUGCAGCGGCACCUAAUGGUGACAGUUGUUAAAGCGGGGGAUCGCAAGACCUCGCGUCUGAAGAGGAGCCUGCGGCAGAUUAGCUAGUUGGUAAGGUAACGGCUUUACCAAGGCGAUGAUCUGUAGCCGGCCUGAGAGGGCGGUCGGCCACACUGACACUGACAUACGGGUCAGACUCCUACGGGAGGCAGCAGUCGGGAAUUUUGGGCAAUGGGCGAAAGCCUGACCCAGCAACGCCGCGUGAAGGAUGAAAUCCUUCGGGAUGUAAACUUCGCAAGAACGGGAAGAAUAAGCCGGUGUUAACAUCACCGGCGAUGACGGUACCGUUUGUAAGCUCCGGCUAACUCCGUGCCAGCAGCCGCGGUAAUACGGGGGGAGCAAGCGUUGUUCGGAUUUACUGGGCGUAAAGGGCGCGUAGGCGGCCACCGCAAGUCGACUGUGAAAUCUCCGGGCUUAACUCGGAAAGGUCAGCCGAUACUGCGGGGCUAGAGUGCAGAAGGGGCAACUGGAAUUCUCGGUGUAGCGGUGAAAUGCGUAGAUAUCGAGAGGAACACCUGCGGCGAAGGCGGGUUGCUGGGCUGACACUGACGCUGAGGCGCGAAAGCUAGGGGACGA
rnacentral:rRNA from 1 species